rnacentral:rRNA from 1 species
UACGUAGGGGGCGAGCGUUGUCCGGAUUUAUUGGGCGUAAAGAGCGUGUAGGCGGCCAGGUAGGUCUGCUGUGAAAACUCGAGGCUCAACCUCGAGACGUCGGCGGAAACCAUCUGGCUAGAGUCCGGAAGAGGAGAGUGGAAUUCCUGGUGUAGCGGUGAAAUGCGCAGAUAUCAGGAAGAACACCCGUGGCGAAGGCGGCUCUCUGGGCCGGAACUGACGCUAAGGAGCGAAAGCGUGGGGAGCGAACAGG